GGUUGUGGCUCAGUGGUAAGAGCACUUGCCUCGCACGUGAGAGACCCUGGGUUCGAUCCUCAGCACCA
rnacentral:tRNA from 1 species